rnacentral:rRNA from 1 species
UAACGUGUGGGCAACCUGCCCUGCACUGGGGAAUAAUCAUUGGAAACGAUGACUAAUACCGCAUACGGUUCCCGGGAGGCAUCUUCCGGGAAAGAAAGGAUUUAUUCGGUGCAGGAUGGGCCCGCAUCUGAUUAGCUAGUUGGUGAGAUAACAGCUCACCAAGGCGACGAUCAGUAGCCGACCUGAGAGGGUGACCGGCCACAUUGGGACUGAGACACGGCCCAAACUCCUACGGGAGGCAGCAGUGGGGAAUAUUGCACAAUGGGCGAAAGCCUGAUGCAGCAACGCCGCGUGAAGGAAGAAGGGUUUCGGCUCGUAAACUUCUAUCAACAGGGACGAAAGAAAUGACGGUACCUGAAUAAGAAGCCCCGGCUAACUACGUGCCAGCAGCCGCGGUAAUACGUAGGGGGCAAGCGUUAUCCGGAAUUACUGGGUGUAAAGGGUGAGUAGGCGGCAUGGUAAGCCAGAUGUGAAAGCCUUGGGCUUAACCCAAGGAUUGCAUUUGGAACUAUCAAGCUAGAGUACAGGAGAGGAAAGCGGAAUUCCUAGUGUAGCGGUGAAAUGCGUAGAUAUUAGGAAGAACACCAGUGGCGAAGGCGGCUUUCUGGACUGAAACUGACGCUGAGGCACGAAAGCGUGGGGAGCGAACAGGAUUAGAUACCCUGGUAGUCCACGCUGUAAACGAUCGAUACUAGGUGU